AGGACGAACGCUGGCGGCGUGCCUAACACAUGCAAGUCGAACGAGGUCCAUCCGGUAGCAAUACCGGUGAAGAUCAAGUGGCGAACGGGUGAGUAGCACGUGAGCAACCUGCCCCGAAGACCGGGACAACACCGGGAAACCGGUGCUAAUACCGGAUGUCCCCACCGAGUCGCAUGGCUUGGUGAGGAAAUGGAUUCCGCUUCGGGAGGGGCUCGCGGCCUAUCAGCUUGUUGGUGAGGUAAUGGCUCACCAAGGCUUCGACGGGUAGCUGGUCUGAGAGGACGAUCAGCCACACUGGGACUGAGACACGGCCCAGACUCCUACGGGAGGCAGCAGUGGGGAAUCUUGCACAAUGGGCGAAAGCCUGAUGCAGCAACGCCGCGUGAGGGACGAAGGCUUUCUGAGUUGUAAACCUCUUUCAGCAGGGACGAUUGUGACGGUACCUGCAGAAGAACGCCCGGCAACUACGUGCCAGCAGCCGCGGU
rnacentral:rRNA from 1 species